UGCAGUCGUACGAGGUGCAUUCAUGUAGACUCUCGGGUCUAUCGAAUGAACUGCAGUGGCGGACGGGUGCGUAACGCGUAAGAACUUACCUUUCGGAGGGGGAUAACAUUGGGAAACCGCUGCUAAUACCCCAUAACGCUGAGGAGCUAAACGGUGAACAACCGCCGAGAGAGAGGCUUGCGUCUGAUUAGCUAGUUGGCGGGGGUAAUGGCCCCCCAAGGCGACGAUCAGUAGCUGGUCUGAGAGGAUGAUCAGCCACACUGGGACUGAGACACGGCCCAGACUCCUACGGGAGGCAGCAGUGAGGAAUUUUCCGCAAUGGGCGAAAGCCUGACGGAGCAAUACCGCGUGGAGGAAGAAGGCCCGUGGGUCGUAAACUCCUUUUCUCAGAGAAGAAGAUCUGACGGUAUCUGAGGAAUAAGCGCCGGCUAAGUCUGUGCCAGCAGCCGCGGUAAUACAGACGGCGCAAGCGUUAUCCGGAAUGAUUGGGCGUAAAGCGUCUGUAGGUGGUUUCCGAAGUCUACUGUCAAAUCCCNNGGCUCAACCUUGGACAGGCAGUGGNAGCACUCGGAGGCUCGAGUACGGUAGGGGUAGAGGGAAUUCCCGGUGAAGCAGUGAAAUGCACAGAGAUCGGGAAGAACACCAGUGGCGAAG
rnacentral:rRNA from 1 species